CGUCUGAAUGUUUUCUCCAUGUGGUCUCACCCGUCACGUUCAGAAAGACGGAUUAUUCUUUGCAAAACUGUGAGCAUUCAUCGUGCGGACGACAGUCUGCAUACCUGUGUUAUCCUUCACUCACUCACUCUGACACCGUAGAGGAAGUCACUGACCUUUUUCUUCUACAGAUGCGAGGUCUGGGACAUUAUGGAUAUUAUGGAACGCACACCUUUACCAUUUGGCCCUGACCACAGUCGCCCCGCCCCCUCCCCCGCGUUAUGUAGGAGGUGAUUGAAGAGUUGUGCAAUCAGGACUCCUGAGGUCCCGGGAGGCUCCGAGGCAGACGCAGAGAGAGGCCGGUCUUGGCAGCGAGGCCGUUUUAAGCUGAUCGGGACGUCACUGUGGUUUCCACACACACAGCGCUCCGCUUCACAGCCCCAGCCGUGGAUCUUCGCCGUCUUGCAGAUAGGAAGCUGCCUGCUGAUUGGCUACUGAGUCUUGGAGCGACAGGAAGUCGUCACAGGAUUGGAGUCGCUGUCCGUCUGGAACUCGUUCCCCAAGUUUUCACCCCGUCUACAUCAUCUGACAAAAAUAACCGCCGCUGCUGCGUUCUGACAGAAAAACGAUGAGUGGAGGGAUUUUUAAAGACACACUCUCGCUGGAUUUGCUCGCUCAGCACCAGGAGGCCAUGAUGAAGAUUUACUACUGAUGCUGCUGAAGGAUAUAUUUAAAGAUGGCCAGCCGACCGUUUGAAGGCCCACUGUAAUUAACCUUUGGAGGAGAAUAACAAACCAGUACACAGGGGCACUGUGACCAGGCUCCGCUGCUUUGAUGUGGUUCCUGUGUUUGCUCGGCUCUGCGCUGAAUUGGAGGUGAACUCUGCUGACAUGUCUGGGGUUGCUGAGGGGCACGUCACGCCCAGGGGGCCUGCGUCCACACACCACCACCACCACCACCAGCAGCAGCAGCAUGGAAAGAUCUGUUAUCAGCCCUCUGAGACGCUGGCUUCAUUUGCUGCCAGGAGUUUGGCCACCAGCCAUCGUCUCAGUAGCACAGAUCAUGCAGUCGUCAGCCUCAGCAUUCAGAUCACAAAAAAACCCACCAAAAACAAUCAGCACUAUCGCUAUCUGCAAUUGUAUUCGGGUGAAUUAACCCGAUUUUUGCGAUCAAAAGAAAUCCAAUCGUUUCUGAAAGUUGAGAAGUUGCGCGUCAAAACCGACGUCUGUCUAUUACGGUAAUUUCCCUCGCGCUGCUGCAGGAAGCCGGCGAAUUA